rnacentral:rRNA from 1 species
UACAGAGGUUGCAAGCGUUGUUCGGAUUUAUUGGGCGUAAAGGGUCCGUAGGCGGUCCGUAAAGUCAGAUGUGAAAUCCCACAGCUCAACUGUGGAACUGCAUUUGAAACUUACGGACUAGAGUAUGAGAGGGGUUAAGGGAAUUCCCGGUGUAAGGGUGAAAUCUGCAGAGAUCGGGAGGAACACCAGUCGCGAAGGCGCUUAACUGGCUCAUUACUGACGCUCAGGGACGAAAGCUAGGGGAGCAAACAGG